rnacentral:lncRNA from 1 species
CUGUGUUGCUGCUGUAGAUACAAAGACCUCCAAAGCAGCAGUUCUAAUGCAAAGAGAAUUUGCUUUAACAGUUAUCAGCAUCUCCUCCUGAGAGAGUCAAUAGGGCAUCAGAAUUGGUUAUUGAGAGUGUACACUCUGUUCCCAAAAUAUAUAAUUAGAGACAAAAUCUACAGUGCAUAGAUAGAAAGACAUGGAAGCAACAGUCUAUAAUUAACACUGGAAAUUAAUGUAGAGAUUCAACCAUUAUGUUCUGUAAAUCUAACUGAUUUGUAACAAGUAAUUAGAAUGAUUCGGGUUCUUUUAAAAGCAUUGGUGUGAAUUAUCAAUAGGCUGGCUUAGUAAGCUAAGUAAAAUUAAGAGAUUCUGGUUAAAAUUGCACGUUGCAACAGUUUUCUGGUGAGUAAUGAUUGGCUUAGCAUAGUAACAGUAAGGCAAAAGGUGAGAAAAUGUCAAUACUCGAGGAUGAGCACGGAGGACUAUGGUGGGUGGUGCACUGACUGGUCAUUCUGAUUGGCACUUUGUGCUCCUGUGAUCCCACAGGCAGCCGAUGAGAAUGCAACCAGCAGUCCAUGUUAACAGAGGGUCAUGCAAAAGGAAAACACGGUACCAAACAUUAAAAAAAAAAUCCUACAAGGGACACAAGUCUUCUUAUUGGCUGCAAUGUGGGAUCAUCUGGAAUCAAUCCAGCUGCUACCAUGGGCAUUAUGGCUGUAAAGAUCAGUCGUUUGAUUCCAGAUUCAGGCUGAGUUGAGGGUUUUGAUUGAAUUAUGGGUGUAGGUUGAGGGGGUCUAGUUUCCUCUUCUGUUUCCUCACUUUUGUAAUAUAAAAGCUCUUCUUGAAGUAGAAACACUUUAGAUUUCAAUUCAUUCCUCUCAUGAAGGACAUCUCGGAGCUCCUGCAAGGUGAAUCUUGGACGAUUUGGAUCUUUUAAGUCCAUUGCCAACUUUUCUGACUCUGAGAGGCAGUCAUCAUUGUUUGGUUCUGUCUGUAUUUCCUCCCCGUUUUGGCUGUCCUCACCCUGCAGUUUUUCCCUCAGUUUCCCCAGCUCUGCUCGUAGGGUGCCCAUCUCCUGCUCCUUAGUUUGCAGAUAUGCUUCCAACUCCACCUUCUGCUCAAUCAGUGCCUUUCCCUGAGCCUCAACAACUGUGAUGCGGUGCCGCAGGUCAUGGUUAAUUUUCAUUAACCUGUUCUGUUGCUGCUGAAGAGCCUCUACAUCCUCAUUUUUAAGUCCAAGUUCUCGGUCCUUUGCUCUGAUUUCAUCCCUCUGUUUAUCUACAACUUCCUUCAGCUUCUUCAUGACUUGCCGUUCUCUCUCUGACAUUCCUUCAUGCUUCUGAAAUUCCUCUUCUGUGAAAUUAAUGUCUUUGUGAGACAAAUUUGUCAUCAACUGUUUGUUCUCCUCCUGCAGCUGUGCAAUUUGGGUAAGAAGGUCCUGUGCUUCCCCUCUCCAGACAUCCUCUACCAGUUCUAACUCCUUCUGGUGCUUGCGCUCCUUCUCGAUGCGGUCCAUCCUCUCCAGGCGGAGCCGAUCGAGCUCCAGGCGCAGCUCCUCCAUCUCGGGGUUGAUGUGGUUGCGGCUCACCAGCACCUCCAGGAUCUCCAGCACCCGCACCACCUUGGGCAUCAGGCGGGCGAUGGCCUCGCAGCCGUGCUGGUCGAUCACCCGCUCAAACUCCUGCCCCACAGCCGAGGCGAUGUCGUACACGUCCAUCACCGUCAGUUCCGCCGCGUUCUUCUCCAGGGCGGGGGGCACCCCUCCGCCGCCGCCGUCCAUGGCUCUCCCGGCCCCGCGGCGUCCUCAUAGGCGGCGGCGGAGCGCCCGGCUCCCCUCGGCGGGCCGCUCUCCGGGCCGGGCCGGGCCUCGCGGCACAGCGCUGCGCUGCCCGGCGGGGCCGGGGCUCCGCGCAACUCGGCCAACUCGCGAGGCGGGGGUUUCAACUUAGCCGGGCGGCGGGAAGGGAGCGGCGGCGGCAGGAAAGGAGGGCGCGGCCACCCCGCUUCGCCUCCCGCCCUCGGCGCGCCGCUCGGGGCCAAUGGCACGCACCGGGCGGGCCGGGGGAGGCCCCGCGCAUGCGCACUGCCGCCGGGCUCUGCGUGCCGCCGCGCCGUGCCGCGCCCGGGGGGACCGUGGGCCCCGGUUCUCCCUAUAGCGGGAUGUGGUUUUGCGUUUAAGAUUCUCAGGAUUUUUACCUUCGGGGGUGACUGUGCGCUUUUGAAUGUUCUCACAGUGCUUAGAGGUGCGCUGGGUGGAUCUUUAACGUGCCCUGAGUGCUUGUAGGUUCUAAUUCCACAUCUCGCUGUGUGCGCUGCAGGAAGAACGCCUCGUCGGUAAGCUGGGAGAGCUGGGGCUGUGCGGCCUGGAGGGGAGAAGGCUCCGGAGUGAGCCGGGCGGCCCUUCCGUAUCUAAGUCCUGCGAUGUCUGCUUGUUGUUCAUGAAGCUUCUUGCCAAAGGAACACCACAGAUAUUGCCCAAAGUUCCAGAGCGUGGGGGUGAGUCAUGACACAGUCAUCCGUUCCUGGCCAACACCACUUAGGAAAGCACGAAAAGUGGCAGCAGAAACGAGCGCAGUAUUUGGAGCGCUCUGAGGUAGCUGUGGGGAGCAGACAGGCUGCAAAGGGAGAGUUGGGUCGGAGCCCCAGAAGGCGUUCGUCCCGCCAUCAGGACUCAGCAGCAAAUCACUCCCCUCACUGUGUACAAAUGCACACAAAGGAAAAAAAAUAAUUUAGAGAACGUGCUGCUGGCAAGACUGAAAUGACUUUGAGACCAGAACAGACACAGUGCAGCCGCUCAGGCUGUGGGUUCAAUCCACGUGGGCUCAAUCCACGCUCAGUGAGGACGAUGAAGGCUUCCUGUGGGUGUGGCAGCCACGUCAGCAAUGCAGCUCCCGCCCUGCGGGGCGAAGGUGACGGUGCUUUACCCACACAAAUCGAAUAUUUGGAUUACAGCUGUCAUACAGCCGAGGGCAAACGCACAACGCCUGAGCAGCACCACGAGCACCGCUCGCCCGGCAAAGCCAAAGGCACUUCAGAAGUGCGCAGCCCGCGCUCCGCAGUUGCCAGGCAACGCCUCCUCCGCUGCUCAUCCAAUGCCGCUCUGCCUUCCACUCUUCUGCGUUUUGAUAGGCCCACUCUCUCCUACUCACGCUGAUUGGCUUCUCUCCGUACCCUGCUCCGCCUCCUACUUC